AAGGAGGGGUGCGCUAGUCGCCGGGUCUAUAGCUGUAGCUGCAGCCUGAGUGGGGCGAGGCAGGGCGGGCCGCGAGCAGCUGCAUGGGGCGAGGUUGGCCGCCUCGGCCCCCCGCCGCCCUGAGGGCCGGGAAGCCUGACAACGGAGCGCGGGCGCUGCUGGCCGGGCCCGAGAACUCCGCCUGAGACAAUCGGCUGCUUUAGGUGGAUAAAACCAUCUUCCACCUUUUUUGCUGGAAUGUCCCGUCACUGAACAUCCUGCCUCUUCCCCCACUCAUUUGCUUUGUCUGAAUCCCGUCACAAGUAAGGAACGAUGGGGAGCAAGCACUCACGCCAACGACCGGCUGUCCCCAUACAGUUUCACUCGGAAGAGCUGGCGGAGAUUGACGGAUUGUUCGCUGCCAUAACAGGGGGCUUGGAGACAAUAUCCAAUGGAAAGACCAAAAGAUCUUUUCCAAUCCCCAUCAAUUCAGAAAUGUUACAGGCUUAUGCUGGGGAAGCUUUACCUGAGAAGAUGGUAGUCAAGCUGUAUGAUGCAAUGAGGAAAACUGAACCUAACGGCAAUAUAAGGAACCCUAGUGAAUACGUCACAAAGGAACAGUUUGUGAAUUUGUUGUCACAGACAUUAAAAGGAAAAGUAGGGGAUAAGAGCCUAGUGAUCCAGAAAAUGCUGAAUGUCACUCCGGAAAAAAUGAAAAUGUACCACAUCAAAGAGUUUACAGAGGAUCUGAUUAGCUCUGUAGUCCAUGUGCUGGAUUUCAGAAAUGAACUGAAAGGUUGGAUUAUGAACAAAAGUGAAGAUAUGACUUCUAGUGUGAAGGCCUUGGCUGAGCAACUGCUCUUACCACUGAAACAAAAAGAAAAGCACUCUGGAGAAGAGAAGAGUGAUUGGGAUUUUGACGGUGAAGGAAAACGAAGCCAAGAGCGAUAUUUGGAUUGCAUUGAUGGCAGUUGUAUUGAGGAAUGGCUGUUUAAAGUGCCCCAGAUCAACACCUUUUUAAAUAUGAUCGUCAGGCGAGGAUUUCUUGUUUUGAAUUCUCAAGGAGAGUUUUCCAAUUUCAUCCCAGAGUGUAAAGAUGCCAAAGAAUUAAAGAGCCUCCUUAACAUUCCUGCCAUUAUUUACAUCAACUCUCACCUGCCUUUAAAUUUGCAGCAGUCAUGGAGACUGGUCUAUUCUUCUCACAUUCACGGCCUCAGCUUUACACAAUUUUGUACGAGUAUUAUAGACAAAGGUCCCUGUUUAUUAGUGAUAAAGGACUCUGAUGGCUUUAUAUUUGGUGGCUUUUCCUCUCAUUCAUUGGAGCUGAAGAGCCAAUUUCAAGGGGACUCUAGAUGCUUCCUCUAUACCAUUUCUCCCAACAUUGCAGUGUAUAAAUACAGUGGAUACAAUGAUCACUAUAUGUAUUUAAAUAAUGGACAACAUACUAUACCAAAUGGAUUGGGCAUGGGAGGUCAGUUUGAACAUUUUGGGCUUUGGAUUGAUUCUGAUUUUGGGAAAGGACACAGCAAAGCAAAUCCAAGAUGUUCUACUUACAAUAGUCCUCAGCUAUCAGCCAAUGAAUACUUUCAUUUGGAAGCCUUAGAGGUAUGGGCGCUUGGGAGUUUCGUGCCUACCAGGUUAACCAAAAAGAGGAGUGUUCUGGAUUCUGAAAAGGAAGUGCACACCCUGUUAGAAAUGAUUGGGAAAAGACAUUACUCUGAUGUACGAAGAAGAAGCUCAAAUUUAGAAGAUGAAUCCGAUUAAGGCUGUGAGGGAGAGGACCAGGGACCCUUCCACUCUGAAAACCAGAUCAGGAGAUCAGAUCCAGGGGAGACACAAGCAAAGUCCAGACCCAGUUCAGUUAAUGGCUUUCAUACACAACCUUGGCUGAAUGUGUAAUCUCCCUGAGAUCAACAUGGUGGUCACCUCUCUGCCACACUGAUGACAGGAUACCCGUCUGCUCCAGAGAAUGAAUCCAGCUUAUUACAGCCUGAGCUAAUGCAGCAAAAUGAAAACUUAAAAGAUCUGUGUGUGACUGACCCCGCAGACCGAGGGAACCCAUCCUCUUCUCUUCCUGCAGACAGAAGGAUUUCUGCUGUGGAGUUAGCUGGAGGGGGAUCCCCCCGUUGUUAUACAUGGUGCAGUAUCGAAUCACUUCUUCAAAAGCUCCCUUCAUGAAGUAAACUUCUUCCUGUUCCUUAGGGAAAGAAAAAAAAAGAAAAAAAAACCUCCAGCAAUCCCCAAAGCAAUUCUUUGAGCAGCUUACAGUGCCUCUCUACAAAUUAAAAUCAAACACAAAAAGCA